rnacentral:lncRNA from 1 species
CGCAGUGAUUAUCUUGACAGCAACUCUGAAGAAACAGGUGCUGACUCUCGCGCGGGGUUCCUCUCACCAGAACGACCACUCACAGGAGGAGGGAUGCCUGGGCCCACCACUUCUCUCCUCUGAAGGGAAAAAUUCAGACCGCCAGAUGGGAAAUGGCUGAAAUCACUGCACUUCUAUUGGGUGGAAGGGUUCAAACAUCGGGGACUCAGAUAACUGUCACUAAGGGAAACUGUCUGGGUUCCAAACUCUGCUCAGCAUCCUCACAGGGAGAAGGCACCCCCACCACAAGGGAAGCUCCGGAGCCCUCCUGCCUGUCGCCUGUGCACAGACAUAGCCCACUACGGGGGCAGCCACGGCACCUGUCAGGGGAAGCUGCUCUACACCCCCCUUUUUUUGGGGGGGGGUGGCUUCUCACAACCCAUCAAAUUAUAUAUAUAUAUAUAUGUGUGUAUAUAUAUAUAUACACACACACACACAUAUAUAUAUACACAUGGUUUUUUUUGCUAGACACAGGGACUCGCUGUGUUGCCCAAGCUGUUCUUGAACUGGGCUCAAGUGAUCCUCCCGCCUCAGCCUCCCAAAGUGCUAAGAUUAUAGGAUUACUGGCAUGAACCAUCGCACCCAGCCAUAUAUAUAUAUAAAAUUUAACAUUUUUUCUUUUAAUCCCAUCCACUAUUACAGAACCUAUGAAAUUUUCUUC